UGUUCUGUUGCCUCGGCGGCGUGGUCAGCGCCCCUCCGAAAAGAGGACGAUGCCCUCCCGCCGGCAGCACCAAACUCUUUGGAUUUUACAGCGGAUUACAGUUCUGAUUUGAAAACAAAAAACAAGUUAAAACUUUCAACAACGGAUCUCUUGGUUCUGGCAUCGAUGAAGAACGCAGCGAAAUGCGAUAAGUAAUGUGAAUUGCAGAAUUCAGUGAAUCAUCGAAUCUUUGAACGCACAUUGCGCCCGGCAGUAAUCUGCCGGGCAUGCCUGUCCGAGCGUCAUUUCAACCCUCGAACCUCCGUUUCCUCAGGGAAGCUCAGGGUCGGUGUUGGGGCGCUACGGCGAGUCUUCGCGACCCUCCGUAGGCCCUGAAAUACAGUGGCGGUCCCGCCGCGGUUGCCUUCUGCGUAGUAAGUCUCUUUUGCAAGCUCGCAUUGGGUCCCGGCGGAGGCCUGCCGUCAAACCACCUAUAACUCCAGAUGGUUUGACCUCGGAUCAGGUAGGGUUACCCGCUGAACUUAAGCAUAUC
rnacentral:rRNA from 1 species